UUGCAGAUCGCUCAGUUGGUAGAGCGUUCGACUGUCAAUCGAAAGGUCGCCGGUUCGAGUCCGGCUCCGCAAA
rnacentral:tRNA from 1 species